rnacentral:piRNA from 1 species
UUAGUGGGAGACAGGCAGCUAAUGAC